rnacentral:rRNA from 1 species
UACGUAGGGUGCAAGCGUUAAUCGGAAUUACUGGGCGUAAAGCGUGCGCAGGCGGUUAUGUAAGACAGGUGUGAAAUCCCCGGGCUUAACCUGGGAACUGCAUUUGUGACUGCAUAGCUAGAGUACGGUAGAGGGGGAUGGAAUUCCGCGUGUAGCAGUGAAAUGCGUAGAGAUGUGGAGGAAUACCGAUGGCGAAGGCAGCCCCCUGGGAUAACACUGACGCUCAUGCACGAAAGCGUGGGGGGCAAACAGG